rnacentral:lncRNA from 1 species
CAAUAAGUGGCCAUUCACUCAAUGAGGACUGGACAUGGGCCAACCAGAAAGCUUUCCAAAUGAGGGUUAGUGCAGAGCAGAUACUUGUCUCUGGGUUCAGAAGCCCCUGGAGAGAUAAGGAGAUGCACCUGAACUUGCUGGAGAAAACUGCUCGUCUCUCAAGGUUCUGAACUUUGGGAUGGAUAUGAUAACUGGGUCGACGUUUUAAAAAUCCUGUGUGUCUCUGUGUUCUAAGUGUGUAAGUAUAGGAGGAGAGGUAUGCACUGAUGUUCGAUCACCACUGAUGACACUGAAACUAGACGGCUAACUGUCCACCAAAUAUCCGGGUGUUAUGGAACUGCCUUUGGGAUAGAUGUUUCCCAACAUCUCAGUAUCCACAUAACUAGCUGUCACCAACGGAAUGUGAAUGGAAACGACAUCUGACACUUUCAGGCUGGGACAUUUAAGAAGCUGGCAGGGAUUAUCCACCUUAUCUUCUCCUGUCCACCAUCUGACUCAAACUCUGAGUUUCUAGGGAGUAAUAGAGCCACAGGCUGGCCCCAAACACUACACAAAAGAAUACCGCAGCCUGUCAGUCAGGUACGUGCACGUUGGGCAGCUACAUGAACAAGAAAUACACCUCUAUUGGGUUAAAACACUGAGUGCUUUUUAUUUACUUAUUUACUUACUCAAUUACUUACUUA